rnacentral:misc_RNA from 1 species
UUGGUGAGGUGUUGAAUGGAGAUCGUUUAGUCACUGCUCCAUACAAACUUGACUUCACAAAUGAUCGAGAAACCGAGGUAGUUUGCAAGAAGACAUUGUCAAAGGAAGAAGUUGCAAGAUUCCGUGAUGCUGUUGCCAAGGACUACUACUUCCAGAUGUUCUAUGAUGACCUUCCUAUUUGGGGUUUCAUUGGUAAGGUAGAUAAGGAGGGGAAAGCUGACCCCAGUGAGUACAAAUAUUACCUAUUUAAACAUCUUCAUUUUGACAUCCAUCACAACAAAGACCGUGUGAUUGAAGUCAAUGCACGAACUGACCCCAAUGCGCUAGUGGACAUAACUGAAGAUAAGGAAAUUGAUGUAGACUUCAUGUACUCUGUAAAAUGGAAGGAAACAGAAAUCCCUUUUGAGAAAAGGAUGGAAAAGUACUCGCAGACUUCAGCUUUACCACAUCAUUUGGAGAUCCACUGGUUCUCUAUCAUUAAUUCUUGUGUCACAGUUCUGCUCUUAACUGGUUUCCUUGCUACUAUUCUGAUGCGCGUCCUUAAAAAUGACUUUGUCAAAUAUGCCCAUGAUGAGGAAGCAGCUGAUGACCAAGAAGAAACUGGG